rfam:Perkinsus marinus ATCC 50983 gcontig_1104296430638, whole genome shotgun sequence.
GACAGUUUGGCCGAGUGGUCUAAGGCGCUGGCUUCAGGCGUCAGUGCGCAAGGGCGUGGGUUCGAAUCCCACAGCUGUUA